UGGGGAAUAUUGGACAAUGGGCGAAAGCCUGAUCCAGCAAUGCCGCGUGAGUGAUGAAGGCCUUAGGGUUGUAAAGCUCUUUUACCAGGGAUGAUAAUGACAGUACCUGGAGAAUAAGCUCCGGCUAACUCCGUGCCAGCAGCCGCGGUAAUACGGAGGGAGCUAGCGUUGUUCGGAAUUACUGGGCGUAAAGCGCACGUAGGCGGCUUUUUAAGUCAGGGGUGAAAUCCCGGGGCUCAACCCCGGAACUGCCCUUGAAACUGGGAAGCUAGAAUCUUGGAGAGGCGAGUGGAAUUCCGAGUGUAGAGGUGAAAUUCGUAGAUAUUCGGAAGAACACCAGUGGCGAAGGCGACUCGCUGGACAAGUAUUGACGCUGAGGUGCGAAAGCGUGGGGAGCAAACAGGAUUAGAUACCCCCGUAGUCC
rnacentral:rRNA from 1 species